rnacentral:tRNA from 5 species
CCCGUGGUAGCUCAGUGGCAGAGCGUCUGGCUGUAGACCGGAAGGUUGGGAGUUCAAAUCUCCCCCGCGGGA